GACAGAGGGUGCAAACGUUGUUCGGAAUCACUGGGCGUAAAGCGUGCGUAGGCGGUCUUGUAAGUCGGCUGUGAAAGCCCUGGGCUCAACCUAGGAAGUGCACUCGAUACUGCGAGACUUGAGUACUGGAGAGGUUGGUGGAAUUCUCGGUGUAGAGGUGAAAUUCGUAGAUAUCGGGAAGAACAUCGGUGGCGAAGGCGGCCAACUGGACAGAUACUGACGCUGAGGCACGAAAGCGUGGGGAGCAAACAGG
rnacentral:rRNA from 1 species